GAUGAACGCUAGCUACAGGCUUAACACAUGCAAGUCGAGGGUCAGCAUGGUCUUAGCUUGCUAAGGCCGAUGGCGACCGGCGCACGGGUGAGUAACGCGUAUCCAACCUGCCUUACACUCUUGGACAGCCUUCUGAAAGGGAGAUUAAUACAAGAUGUUAUCAUGAGUAAGCAUUUUCACAUGAUUAAAGGUUUACCGGUGUAAGAUGGGGAUGCGUUCCAUUAGAUAGUAGGCGGGGUAACGGCCCACCUAGUCUUCGAUGGAUAGGGGUUCUGAGAGGAAGGUCCCCCACAUUGGAACUGAGACACGGUCCAAACUCCUACGGGAGGCAGCAGUGAGGAAUAUUGGUCAAUGGACGAGAGUCUGAACCAGCCAAGUAGCGUGAAGGAUGAAGGUUCUAUGGAUUGUAAACUUCUUUUAUACGGGAAUAAACGGAUCCACGUGUGGAUUUUUGCAUGUACCGUAUGAAUAAGGAUCGGCUAACUCCGUGCCAGCAGCCGCGGUAAUACGGAGGAUCCGAGCGUUAUCCGGAUUUAUUGGGUUUAAAGGGAGCGUAGAUGGGUUGUUAAGUCAGUUGUGAAAGUUUGCGGCUCAACCGUAAAAUUGCAAUUGAUACUGGCAGUCUUGAGUACAGUUGAGGUAGGCGGAAUUCGUGGUGUAGCGGUGAAAUGCUUAGAUAUCACGAAGAACUCCGAUUGCGAAGGCAGCUUACUAACCUGUAACUGACAUUGAUGAUCGAAAGUGUGGGUAUCAAACAGGAUUAGAUACCCUGGUAGUCCACACGGUAAACGAUGAAUACUCGCUGUAGGCGAUAUACAGUCUGCGGCCAAGCGAAAGCAUUAAGUAUUCCACCUGGGGAGUACGCCGGCAACGGUGAAACUCAAAGGAAUUGACGGGGGCCCGCACAAGCGGAGGAACAUGUGGUUUAAUUCGAUGAUACGCGAGGAACCUUACCCGGGCUUAAAUUGCAACCGAAUAUGGCGGAAACGCUAUAGCUAGCAAUAGCGGUUGUGAAGGUGCUGCAUGGUUGUCGUCAGCUCGUGCCGUGAGGUGUCGGCUUAAGUGCCAUAACGAGCGCAACCCUUGCCGAUAGUUACUAACAGGUCAUGCUGAGGACUCUGUCGGGACUGCCAUCGUAAGAUGUGAGGAAGGUGGGGAUGACGUCAAAUCAGCACGGCCCUUACGUCCGGGGCUACACACGUGUUACAAUGGGGGGUACAGAGGGCUGCUACCACGCAAGUGGAUGCCAAUCCCAAAAACCUCUCUCAGUUCGGAUUGAAGUCUGCAACCCGACUUCAUGAAGCUGGAUUCGCUAGUAAUCGCGCAUCAGCCACGGCGCGGUGAAUACGUUCCCGGGCCUUGUACACACCGCCCGUCAAGCCAUGGGAGCCGGGGGUACCUGAAGUGCGUAACCGCAAGGAGCGCCCUAGGGUAA
rnacentral:rRNA from 1 species